GACGAACGCUGGCGGUGUGCUUAACACAUGCAAGUCGAACGGUAAGGCCCUUUCGGGGGUACACGAGUGGCGAACGGGUGAGUAACACGUGAGUAACCUGCCCUCAUCUCUGGGAUAACAGUCGGAAACGGUUGCUAAUACUGGAUAUGAGCCUGCAAGGCAUCUUGUGGGUUGGAAAGAUUUUUUGGUUGGGGAUGGACUCGCGGCCUAUCAGCUUGUUGGUGAGGUAGUGGCUCACCAAGGCUUCGACGGGUAGCCGGCCUGAGAGGGCGACCGGCCACAUUGGGACUGAGAUACGGCCCAAACUCCUACGGGGGGCAGCAGUGGGGAAUAUUGCACAAUGGACGGAAGUCUGAUGCAGCAACGCCGCGUGCGGGAUGACGGCCUUCGGGUUGUAAACCGCUUUCAAUUGUGACGAAGCUUUUUGUGACGGUAGCAGUAGAAGAAGCACCGGCUAACUACGUG
rnacentral:rRNA from 1 species